UUCCAUUGUAGUGUUUCUUUACUAUGAUCUGAUAAAUUCUUUCUCAUCAGCUGAAGCGCCUCCUUAUUGCUCCAAUCUUCACUUUUUCUUCGAGAAGUACACAAGCUUGGACCUGCUAUGAAUAUAGGUCAAGAUUCUCUCAGGUUCCCUCUUUCAGAUGCUGCUAUCUCCAUCCAUUUGCUUAUUGCUGGUGUCAUUUUUGGCUAGUAAUAUACUGAAGAUGGAGGCCAGAAAAGCCAGAUGAUCCCAAGUUGCAUAUACUAAAAUGAAGACAGCAUCAUUCAAUAGUGUUUUGGAGCAGAUGCAGUAGAGGCAGUAUAGGGACCAAUAAUUUAAAAAUGCAUACCAAUAUUGUUCUCUGCCAACCUAAGGAUGAAUGAAUACCACAUUAAGCUAAUAGAAGAGAAAAAUCCAGAGUGUCCCUAUGUGCUCUGAUAAAUUGUCUGCCUUAACCAUUCUUUUCAAUAAUAAACUUCUGAAGUUUUUA